GGAUGAAUAUUGGUCAAUGGAGGCAACUCUGAACCAGCCAUGCCGCGUGCAGGAUGACGGUCCUAUGGAUUGUAAACUGCUUUUGUACAGGAAGAAACCCUACUUCGUGAAGUAGAUUGACGGUACUGUAAGAAUAAGGAUCGGCUAACUCCGUGCCAGCAGCCGCGGUAAUACGGAGGAUCCAAGCGUUAUCCGGAAUCAUUGGGUUUAAAGGGUCCGUAGGCGGCUUAGCAAGUCAGUGGUGAAAUCU
rnacentral:rRNA from 1 species